ensembl:lincRNA A230087F16Rik RIKEN cDNA A230087F16 gene
AUUCCUAAACCAAGGGAUGGUGCCAACCAGGGGCUGAUGUCUCCCUGUGGAGAAGGGGAGGAGACAGCAGACACCCACUUGGUACACGUGGGCAAGGUGCAUGGGAAAGGUCGCGACGCUCAGGGACAUCACAGGUCACGCGGGGAAAGGCCACGCCUCUUCCUUAGCCCACCCGGCUCCUGGGCCUGUGGCCUGUGACUAGCUAGGGGUCAGCACCCGAGGGUGGGCUGCCUUGGGGAGGGGAGAUCCACUCAGCUUUCCCUACGGUUUCUUGAGCAUGCAGGCAAGACUGGACCUCUUGAUGUGUUCCCAAAAGAGGAGAAAAAAGUGAUCCCUGGUUUGCACUGCGUUUGAGGUGGGGCAUGCCCCAAUUCAAGGCUGCUCUGUGUGAGCUGGGAGGAAGGCUCCUUAGAGCAAAGCUUUGCUGGGAACCGGCACAGCUCACAGGCUCUGACUGCUUCUCUGGAACUCAUGGCUGCUGGAAACUUGUCCUCCCCCCACCUUGGAGCUCUCCCCAGCCCUGUUCAUCAUUGAAGGAAGUCAGCCCAGACAGGAACUCAAGCUGGCCAGGAACCUGGAGGCAGAGGCUGAUGCAGAGGCCACGGAGGAAGAAUAAGCUCACUGAACCCCGACUGACGGCCCCAGCGCCCCUCCGGACCGUCCUCACUGACCUGCCACACUGGAGCCCUCAGUGAGUACCAGGAACCCAGCUCACCUCAGCCAGUCGCUGUCCUCAGGAAAGCUGACUCCUGGAGUAUGGGGGGGCAGGUCCUGCUGGCCAGGCCUUGGUGUGCAUGUGGCCCGGUGGCCCCGUGGCUAGCCUGACUUACUGGCUUGUGCACGCUCUGCUGGGCUCUCAGGCAUACCGUCCUCCCCAUACCUGGCCCCACCUUUCCUUUAGUGCUGCUUCUGUUCAGACGGAGACACCGGCUCCUCUUUCUGCAGCAGCUUCUUAGUGGGAUCUGCAAGCCUGGCAAAGCACCUGGGCAGACUCGCCUGUCAGGGCAGAGGUGCCAUGGCUAUGUCCCCUUAGCAUCUUAGAGGAAGGCAUAAUGGGUGACAUCACUAUCAGACAAACCCCUGAGAACUUUAAAACUGCUGCCUUCUGCUUUAUUGACAGGUAAAUUGUUCAAAAUUGUUCUCACAAUUCAAUAAUUACAAAGACUCAGACUUACAUUAAAAAAGUAAAAACCAGAACCCCCAGCAGGUGCCUGCCCCGGCACAGAGCCGGGGAGGGUGGGUGGGGCAGGCAGCAGGUGCUGGGUGUGACACGCAGGCUUGGCCUGCUGUGCCACCACCCUCAGUGCCAACUCGGCCAAGUGCUCACCCUGAAUCGUGUCACUAAGCACGCCAACGGGGAAGGGAGGCCUGUCCAAGAUGAGGACAGGACAUGUCUGCUGCCACAGUUAAUCGCCAGCCUUCACGGGCAGGGUCACUGACCUGGUCACUCAGCCCAGGACACAGGAAGGGAUGAGGUUCAACACUCGUGGCACUCCCAGGCCUGGUGCUGCUGAUGUGCAGGAGUGUUGGGCGAUUCUGUGACACAGAGGCUCCAUGCAGGGCGAGGGGAUGUCACAGGGCCUGGGGCAUGGCUCCCCAGGCUCCGGCUGCCUCUGAACUCAGGAGGUCAUGGGCCUGCCUUCCCCACCGUGUGCUGGCCUGUGGCAGCUGCAGGCACACUGGGAGCCAGCGCACAGCUACCUUCACAGCAGGAGGGGCAUCUCAUGGCUGUGGCCCAGAAUGGACGGACACAGGACACAGGCGGCCGGUCAGCAGCUGCCUGUGUCAGGGUUAAGUGGAUGAAAAGGCCACCAACUACCCUCUGCCUUCUGUGGCACUGGGAUGGCGCACUUUAGUCUUUGUAGGGUUGAGACAUCUUCAGGAGAGAGGGAAGGUCUUGAGGCCAUACCUCAGCAUCUGCUGAGGAAGCCGGUGGAUGUGGGCCUGGGUGGUCCUGGGGGGAGGGGUGAGUGGUGGUCCUUCAUGUGCAAACGGAACAGUGUUGCCUCGCGGCUGUGCAGACGAACACAUCUGGUCGAUCGCCACCAACAAUGUGGCACAAAACUGGUCAUUAUAAUAAAGAUUAUUUUAUCUAUCU